GUUUCAAAAGCGGUCAGUAUAAGCCUCAGUAAACGGCGGCCGUAACUAUAACGGUCCUAAGGUAGCGAAAUUCCUUGUCGGAUAAGUUCCGACCCGCACGAAUGGCGUAACGACUUCCCUACUGUCUCCAGCACAAGCUCCGUGAAAUUGAAUUCCCCGUGAAGAUGCGGGGUACCUGCGGUAAGACGGAAAGACCCCGUGCACCUUAACUAUAGCUUUAUAUUGAUGUUACUUGGCGACUGUGUAGCGUAGGUGGGAGGUGAUGAAUGCUGGGCGCUAGCUCGGCUGGAGCUGACAAUGAAACACCACUCUGGCGGCGGGUGGUGUCUUACUGCGAUUGUGUCAUCCGCAAUCGAGGACAGUGUAUGGUGGGUAGUUUGACUGGGGCGGUCGCCUCCUAAAGAGUAACGGAGGCGUGCAAAGGUAAACUCAAGACGGUUGGAAACCGUCUGUAGAGCGUAAUGGUACAAGUUUGCCUGACUGUGAGACGUACAUGUCAAGCAGAGACGAAAGUCGGCCAUAGUGAUCCGGUGGUUCUGUGUGGAAGGGCCAUCGCUUAACGGAUAAAAGGUACGCCGGGGAUAACAGGCUAAUAACUCCUGAGAGCUCUUAUCGACGGAGUUGUUUGGCACCUCGAUGUCGACUCAUCGCAUCCUGGGGCUGAAGCAGGUCCCAAGGGUAUGGCUGUUCGCCAUUUAAAGCGGUACGUGAGUUGGGUUCAGAACGUCGCGAGACAGUUCGGUCCCUAUCUACCGUGGGUGGAAGAGCGUUGACGGGGGCUGUCUCUAGUACGAGAGGACCGAGAUGGACGUACCUCUGGUGUUCCUGUUGUUCCGCCAGGAGCAUAGCAGGGUAGCUACGUACGGAAUAGAUAACUGCUGAAAGCAUCUAAGCGGGAAGCUAGCCCGAAGACUAACGCUCUAUUUUAGAGUCGUGAUAGACUAUCACGUUGAUAGGCCAGAGGUGUAAGUGUGGUAACACAUUUCAGCUUACUGGUACUAAUUUCUCGAAAGUUCACAAG
rnacentral:rRNA from 1 species